UACGUAGGGUGCAAGCGUUGUCCGGAAUUAUUGGGCGUAAAGAGCUCGUAGGCGGUUUGUUGCGUCGGCUGUGAAAUCCCGAGGCUCAACCUCGGGUCUGCAGUCGAUACGAGCAAACUAGAGUGUUGCAGGGGAGACUGGAAUUCCUGGUGUAGCGGUGGAAUGCGCAGAUAUCAGGAGGAACACCGAUGGCGAAGGCAGAUCUCUGGGCCGUAACUGACGCUGAGGAGCGAAAGCAUGGGGAGCGAACAGG
rnacentral:rRNA from 1 species